rnacentral:sRNA from 1 species
AUGGUUAUCAGGAAAGAAUUCACUCCUGAUAUGGAUGCCCUAGGCAAAGAGUUUGAGUCAGAAGAAAACAGACUCAGAAGAGAAGCCUAUAGAGCCAACCAUACCCUUGAGCAAAAGAAAGAAGUUCUCAACUGUUGGCAAACAUUCAUGAAAGAGAUAUCCAGUAAUGUCCCUUUCUUUGAAUACUUUGAGAACUAUUUCAAGUGGCACAAGAAGUCUUGUGUGCUCACCAAAACCAAUUGGGCAAAACCCCCUAGCAAGGACGCUAGUGGUAAACCCAAACCUCCAGAAGUUGUUAGAUCUCACCAUCCACCACAGGAAGCCAUAGUCUUCAACCACCGUGGAACAGAUCUAGUUGCCGCUCCCUUCAAAACCCCUACCACUCCAGAAGAAACGGUAGUGAAGAAGGUCAUAGAGCAAAACAACUACACCAACCAGUGUUUAGGUGUCAUAGGAAAACAGCUUGAUAGGAUAGAAGACAAGGUAGACAGCAAGGUUAUUCCCCAGCCAGGAAACCCUAGCAAACCUGUCAAAGCCUUAGAAAAGCCUUUAGUCAAGCUUCCUACAACUAAGCAACCCAGCCUUAGAUCUAAGGACAAAACAGCCUUAGAAAUAGUCAACCAAAAGCUUGAAGAACUCGUGAAGAAGGAACCAGUCACCCCUUCACCAGUUAGUACUUCAACCAGUGUAGAUCCCCGUCUUCAAACCAACAGAUUAGUUGCUUUAGACGUCCAUACAGCCUCUAGCAGUUCUAGCAGCUCCUCCUUAGACAGUGACAAGGAGAUAGAACACCUAGAAAACCAGUUUAAAAGUGUUAAGGUUAACAAGCUUACCCAUCCAAAGGUAACCCCUACUAGCCUAACCAGAAAUUGGUAUCCCAGGCCUACACCCCCUGACCUCCAGUUCGAAGAAAGGAAUUUGAAUACCCAGUUUUCAGUCUCUUCAGGUAAACUCUAUGAAUGGAACAUAGAUGGUCUAUCUGAACAGGAAAUACUGAACAGACUCCAGCAUAUGACCAUGGUAGCCAACAACUACAUCAGUGAAGGACAUUCCCAUACUGAGGUCAUAGGACUCAUUUCCUUAGGAUUCACGGGAAAACUCCUCCAAUGGUGGAACAAUUGCCUUACAGAAGAUUCUAGGGAAGACAUUAGGCAUGCUGUCCAGAAAGAUGAGGAAGGCCUCCCCAUCUUUGAUGACAACAGAGGAUGUGGUAUUCCCGACGGAGUCAAUACCUUGGUCUAUACGAUCAUGAAACACUUCGUAGGAAAACCCAGCAACAUUACAUCUAGGAUUUACGACCAGUUGAGUAACCUUAGAUGUAAAACUCUUGGAGACUUUAGGUGGUACGAAGAUGUGUUUACUACCAGAGUCAUGCACAGAAGUGAUUGUAACUCUCCGUUUUGGAAGGAAAAGUUCAUCAAUGGUUUACCUACCCUUUUUUGAGAAAAGGUUAAAGAAACCCUGUGUAACCCCUUAGGUGUCAUAGAUUAUGAUAACCUAACCUAUGGAGACAUCUCUAGCACCAUUCGAAGUGAAGGAAUGAAGAUGUGCAGAGAUCUCAAAAUCCAGAGCAAAACCAGCAAAGGAAAAGCCAAAUACGAAGUAGGAAACUUUUGUACACAGUACGGCUUACCUUCCAUCUUUCCUAAGAGAAAAUCCAAAUACAGAGGCAAGGAAACCUCUGAACAUUCUCAUAGGAACAGAACCAAGUCCAAGUAUUAUAGAAAGCAGAAGUACAGCAAAGAUGAUUUCUAUAAGAAAGAAAAAUCCAAAUCCACAGGAAAGUUCAUACCUAAAGCAUCAGGAAAAUGCUUCAAUUGUGGUAAGAAAUGUCAUUUCAGAAAAGAGUGUCAAGCUAAGGCCAAAUCCCUUAUCAAUGCCCUCGUGAGUGACCAAGCCGGUAAAGAUGAAAUCUUUAAGCUCCUAGAACUCAACCAAUCAGACAGUGAGGUUUCUAGCAGUGAAAUUCGUCAGAUCUACCAGUCAUCCUCUGAUUCCUCUAGAAUUUCUUCUAGCACCUCUAGUAGCCCAGAUGAACCCAUCCCUUGCAUGGAUAAUUGUUGCAGGAGCAAAACCCUCAAUGUCCUUUCCAAGCAAGAAGAGCUCCUCAUAGAUCUCAUAGAACAGAUCGAGGAUCCAGUCAUUAAAGCCCAAAAAUUCACAGAAUUCAAGAGAACCUUAGUUAAAGAAACCAGUAAACCUGAAACUAAGUUUCAAGACCCCAAAGUUGAUUUGGAACAAAUCUACAAGAGAUUUACCAAAUCCAAGAAGGAAGAGGUUUUCCUACUGCAGGAGUCCUUUUGUCUUGAGGAUAGCCCGACGCCGGUGCUUUCCCCUUGUUCCUCUUCUCUGCUGAAGAAGUCGACUUACGCCACAUAG